AGGGUUUGAUCAUGGCUCAGGAUGAACGCUGGCGGCGUGCCUAACACAUGCAAGUCGAACGGAACUUUUACGGAACAAGGCUUCGGCCAAGUGAAAUUUAAGUUUAGUGGCGGACGGGUGAGUAACGCGUGAGUAACCUGCCUUUCACAGGGGGAUAACGUUUGGAAACGAACGCUAAUACCGCAUAACACAGCAGAGUCGCAUGGCUCAGCUGUCAAAGAUUUUAUCGGUGAAAGAUGGACUCGCGUCCGAUUAGGUAGUUGGUGAGGUAACGGCUCACCAAGCCGACGAUCGGUAGCCGGACUGAGAGGUUGAACGGCCACAUUGGGACUGAGACACGGCCCAG
rnacentral:rRNA from 1 species